rnacentral:lncRNA from 1 species
UUUUUUAUUCGGCCGGGAGCAUCAGCAGACUCGCAUCUUAAGAGCCGAGCUCCCCGAAAAAGAAAUUCCUAGCCCUUUGAAGGGCUUACAACUCUAAGGGGUCUACGUGAAAGAGUCAUAAUAGAUCAAGUAAGUGUGAGGAAUGUGACUGUGGGCUACCUACAUCAGCUAACACUACAAAAAGUUUUACAGUGCUUUCUCACACAAUGUCUGGAAUUUACAGAUAACACCAGUAGUUUUGGUCAGGGGUUAAUAUUAUUAUCAUUUUAACCACCAGGGCCAGGUGGUGGCGCCAAGGUCGUCUAGCUAUUUAUCUUUCUUCUGUUUCUUUCCAACUUUUUGCUUUCUCCCUUUUCUCCUGUCUUAUAAACUAGGGAAAAGGGGAGGUUGGGGAGAAACUGGGAAGGACAACAGGAGAAGUGGUGGUCUCGUACCAUAUUCCCCCCCUUUGAGAAUUUUCACUUUUUAGUGGGAGUUCUCACUCUCAUCCUCACUUUCUGAGUCUCUUUGCGAGAUAGAGCGAUAGUGAUUCAUAUAAUACACGUGUGCUGAAGUUUUUUGAUGAACCAAAGUAGCAACAAAACAUUUUAUCAUUUGAAAAAGCAAGGGUAAUACACAGGGGAGCAGCAAGCAAGUUCCUAUUACUAGCACUACACCUACAAUGAGGGUUUUUAAUCCUCCUGUAGCUGGAAACCAUUUUCCAAAGAAAGACUCAGGAUCAAACUCGUGCCAAACCUGUACAGACACAUGUGCCACCUUUGUCAUGUCCCUGACUAUGUUUUCAACCACCUGUCCUUGAUCAUCUAUUUGUAGGCAGCAACUGGUUAAGUUAAAUUUUUCACAAACUCCUCCUUCAGCUGCUAGCAAGUAGUCCAAGGCCAGCCUAUUCUGAGAGAUAGCAUUCCUCAUUUGGGUUUCCUGCCAAGCUAAAACAGUCAAAGUUUCAUUAGUAAUUAUUUCUAAGAUGGCCUGCAACCAUAUGAUCUGAUUGAGCAUGUAGAUGGGGAUUCAGUAUCCCCAUGAGCUGUCUUGUGCCCAUGCGGCAGGCCCAUAAUACUGUAUGAUCCUUUCAGGGGGCCACUCAUUAUCUUUCCAGUUUCCUAUAACUAUGCCUCUCUUGGGAGGCAUAGACAGGGAAACCUAGGAGCUCACCCGUUUUUAUGGGUAAUAAGAAAAAGGACGGCUUAAUAGUGCCAAUAACACAACUGCCUGCCCAUUUAUUAGGUAACCGAAUGUAGGCUCCGUGCCCACAUAUCCAGUAUAGUCCAGCGGGAGCUGCCCAGUCCUGAUGAGAUUCUGGAUGAGCCCAGGCAGUUUUUAAUUUAGAAAAUUUACUAAAUGGGUUCUUUUCAGUGUGGUUUAGGCCCCACCAAGUAAUUGUCUUUGUUGUGCUGUUGUACAACUUCUGUCCUAUACAAUUAAGCUUUCUUACAGGGAUGAUAAAGACUUUCCCUUCUCUAGCUAUACAGUAUUGUCCAAUAAUUGAGGUUUUUAGGACCCAGAAGUUGCUAGCUUGGGCCUUCUGAACUGGAAUUACAUCAGGAGCUGGAUCAGUAGGCACCAACUCUCGGGCUUCCCAAGGCCAUCGGUCUCCGAUAGUGGUUCCCCCGCAUACAUAACAAGAAGUAACAUUAAGGGAAUGAGCUACAUUUUCUGCUGAUUGGAUAAACAAAUUUUUUGUCUUUUUCGGAAGUUCUGGUGCUGGCAGAUUCAGCUCCUCAUAAAAGGUUUGAAAUACUGGCUUGGGAGAGCGCUUGUGGACCUCCCCUCUAAUUAAAAUGGCAACUUGGGGGUUUAACCCCGUCCCAUCGAUCCCCAGGGUUACACGUUCUCCCUUUUUCUAAUGGGGAUCUAGGGGAUUGGUAAUUAUUAGUUCUAGUGGGUUACAGUGACCGGCAGCACAGGAAGGGUUGGCUUCCCCCUUCUGAAGAUGAACCGGGUCUUUUUUGUUCUUUUUCCAAGUAGCCCAAAUAACACAUGGCCAAAAGGCACAAUUUUCACAAUCCCCUGACUCAUG